AUUGAACGUUGGUGGCAGGCCUAACACAUGCAAGUCGAACGGUAACAGCAGGCGCUUGCGUCUGGCUGACGAGUGGCGGACGGGUGAGUAACGCGUAGGAAUCUACCCAGAAAUUCGGGAUAGCUCGAGGAAACUCGAAUUAAUACCGGAUAAUCCUUACGAGGGAAAGACGGCCAAUCAAUGAAGCUGUUGUUUUUGGAGGAGCCUGCGUCGGAUUAGCUAGUUGGUUGGGUAAUGGCUGACCAAGGCGACGAUCCGUAGCUGGUUUGAGAGGACGAUCAGCCACACUGGGACUGAGACACGGCCCAGACUCCUAUGGGAGGCAGCAGUGAGGAAUAUUGUGCAAUGGGCGAAAGCCUGACACAGCCAUGCC
rnacentral:rRNA from 1 species